rnacentral:rRNA from 1 species
CGGACAGUCGACGACCGGCGCACGGGUGAGUAUCGCGUUUGUAACCUACCUUUAACUGGAGAAUAGCCCGAAGAAAUUCGGAUUAAUACUCCAUAAUACUAUGAUCUGGCAUCUUUUUAUAGUUAAAGCUCCGGCGGUUAAAGAAGGACAUGCGUAACAUUAGUUUGUUGGUGAGGUAACGGCUCACCAAGACUACGAUGUUUAGGGGGUCUGGGAGGAUGGUCCCCCACACUGGUACUGAGACACGAACCAG